ACCACACCUGUGGCAUAUGGAAGUUCCCGAGCCAGGGGUUGAGCCACAGCCACUGUACAAGCAAUGCCGAGGUGUUAUGUUGUGAGCCACACAGAAAGUCCUCAUAUUCCAUUUUAAUGAAUUUAUUUUUGGACUGUAACUAUUGUAUAAGUUUUUAGUGACACAUACCUUUUAGCAGGCUAACUACACAAUUGUUUAACCACAUCAACUGGAAUGUAGAAAACUUAUCAGAUGUUAGUGUUCCUUUACCCUGUUUUCUUUAUGUUGGCUUAUAUGUUAUAUAUACAUCCACAGAAAAUCCUUUCUACCUUGAAAAAUAUUUAAAUAAAUAAUUUUAUUAUAUUUACAUAAAUAUUUAAUAGUUCUGUUUCUUUUCCUUAAUUCCAAGUGCUUUAUGUCUACUUUUGACAAAAUUUUUCCUUCUUUGUGAAGAAUUGUUUCACAGUUAUUACAGAGGAGGUCAUCAGACAAUGAAUUCUCUUAGUUUUCUCUACCUUAGAAUAUAUUUCUUUCACCUUUAUUCUAGGAGGGUGUUUUUACCAGGUAAGAACCUUAGGUUGACAGUUUGCUUUUCAGCACUUUAAAAAUUUUGUUUCACUUUAUUCUUACCACCAUUGUUUUAGAUGAGAUAUCCACAAUCAUUCAAAUCAUUGUUCUUUGUUCUCUAGUUGAUUUCUAGGAAAUUUUCUUUGUCAUUAGUUUUUACUGGUUUGAUUAUGAUGUAUCUGGACCUGAAUUUCCCUCUGUUUAUCGUGUUUAGGGAGUACUAAGUUUAUUAAAGCCACAAGUUUCUAUCAUUAUCUAAAUUUGAGAGGGAGUUCCCAUUGUGGCUCAGUGGGUUACAAACCCAACUAGUAUCCAUGAGGAUGCAGGUUUGAGCCCUUACCUCUCUCAGUGUGUUAAGGAUCCAGCAUUGCUGUGAGCUGUAGUGUCUGUAACAGACAAGGCUCACAUCCUGCAUUGCUGUGGCUGUGGUGUAGGCUGGCAGCUGCAGCUCUGAUUAGACCUCUAGGCUGGGACCUUCCAUAUGCCACAAGUGUGGCUCUAAAAAGCAAAAAUAAAUACAUAAAAAAUUAAAAAAUUAAAAAUAAACUUGGUAUUGCUCUACAAGUCCCUGUAGUCUAUUAUCUCUGUAUUUGGAAAUGAUCACAUCUAGUGAUCUAUGUUCAAACUGUAGUGAUCCUUUCCUUUGUCAUUCCUAUUCUACUAUUGAAUCCAUCUGGUGCGUUUUAUUAUUAUCAAUAUUUUAAUUUUUAGGUCUAAAAUUUCUAUUUGAUUCUUUUUUUUAUUUUCUAUUGCUUUUCUGAUAAUUGCUAUCUUUAUAUUCACUUCAAGAGUGUUUGCCCUUACUUCUUGCAUCAUUUUCAUGAUGGCUGCUUUAAAGUCCUUGUCAGAUAAUUGUGACUUCUAUGUCAUCUGGGUGCUGGUGUCUGAUUUUAUUCUCUGUAACAUUUGAGAUUUUCCUGGUACUUCCUAUACUGAGGAAUUUUUCACUGUGUUCUGAAGGUUUUAAAUGUCAUAUUAUGAUAGUCUGGGUCUUGGUUAAAUCCUUAGGAUAAUGUUGAUAUUUUGUUUUAGCAGAUAAUCAACUGAGUUGGAUUCAAGCCACAAGUUCUGACUAGCCUUUUGAGGGUUGUGGUUUUAGUGUCACUUCCAUUUUCAAAGCCUUUGAAAUGCUAUUUAUAUCUAUACUGUGUUUGCUACACCCAGUGACCAUUCUGAGAUUGGUGGUAGUCUGUUUUAUUUCAGUUCUCAGAGGUUUUGUUAUAAUGUUUACAGUCCAGUCCAUGUAUACAAAACUCAGGAGUGAGUCCAAGAAUUUAUAAACAACUUUAUGGGUCAUCUAUCCAAAUUUCUCUGUCUCUAUUGACAUCCCUCAUAGUUUCUAUCCAGAAAGCUAUAUAUGUCUCUGCUAUGCACUUUUACAUCAUUUCAUUCUUAUCCAGGGCAAGAGAGUGGGAGAACAGAGAAGGAAAAGUUACAGAGAUUUGUCCAGCCCCCAAUGGGACCACAGAUUCCAUGACAAGAGAGGAAGAUUAUCCUCCCUCAAAGUUACAGAGUUUUAAGCUCACUAUAAUACUACUGAGAAUAGGAUACACUUUUCCUGUCCCUUAAUACUACUGAGAAUAGGAUACACUUUUCCUGUCCCUUAAGCCUGAACUUGAGGGGUUUUUUUUAAGAUCUGUCUCUGUUCAUGUUUGUGCCUAAUUCCAAAUUUCAGGAUGAGUUGAGUCCAGGUUUGGGGUUGUUUGAAGAAACCAAAAAGGUAAGUUCACUGCCAGUUUGGUUGUACUUUAUAUUUGGUUUUUCUCCAAGUCUUCUACUUAUGUUUUAUAGUCCUUGGUCAGCUGCUCUAUCCAUUCUGCCCCAAGUUUAGAGCUGCAUUCAGUGACAGAGAAAGUAUGAACUGUGCUUAUUGUGUGUUAUCCAGAAUUAAAAACCAUGGUAAAGUUCAAAAAUAAACUUUACAACCAUGUUACAAAUAAUAAAAUAAUAACUAUAAUUUAAAAGUUGUGCCAUACUGGAAUUCUAUUUAAGCUAUGGUAGUUUGCUAUUCACUCUAAUGUAAGAUCCUUCAAUAUAAAUAUAUAAUUAUUUAUAAAAAUAUAAAUUACACACAAUUCUAAUUAAGUCAUUCAAUACAAGAAAUGGUUACGGAACAAACAAGGCAAUUUACUAGGACUACAAGGUAUAAAACUAAUUCAUGGAGUGUGAAAGGCAAACCAAUUGUGAGGCAGUGUAGAAGCCAAGGAACAAUAGAUUCCCCACAUAACACUUGUUUUACUUGGGAAGAGCCAAUCAUAUUUGUUAUUUUAUCUAACUUUAGCCUAGUGUUAACUCAGCAGGCAUUCAUGUUUAUAGUAUUUAGGAAAAAUUAUUAUUUUGACAGAUUGAUAAGCCAUUUCUUCAAAACUAUAUGUUAGGCCUAUUUUUUAUUAAAUUAUUGGAAAGAAUCUGUAUUUUUACCUCUAUGACUUUUGGUUCUAUUUUGGUUGCAAUUAUUGAGUUCAUGUGCCUUCUUCACGAGGACUGGAUACCUGAGUCAUAUUUUGCCAUAUCAUUAAAGAUAGUUUCCUGAGCUAU
rnacentral:lncRNA from 1 species